rnacentral:rRNA from 1 species
CCUACGGGUGGCAGCAGUGGGGAAUAUUGCACAAUGGGGGAAACCCUGAUGCAGCGACGCCGCGUGAGUGAAGAAGUAUCUCGGUAUGUAAAGCUCUAUCAGCAGGGAAGAAAAUGACGGUACCUGAUUAAGAAGCCCCGGCUAACUACGUGCCAGCAGCCGCGGUAAUACGUAGGGGGCAAGCGUUAUCCGGAUUUACUGGGUGUAAAGGGAGCGUAGACGGCAGCACAAGUGUGGAGUGAAAUGCCGGGGCUUAACCCCGGAACUGCUUUGGAAACUAUGCAGCUAGAGUGCAGGAGAGGUAGGUGGAAUUCCUAGUGUAGCGGUGAAAUGCGUAGAUAUUAGGAGGAACACCGGUGGCGAAGGCGGCUUACUGUACUGUAACUGACGUUGAGGCUCGAAGGCGUGGGGAGCGAACAGGAUUAGAUACCCCUGUAGUC